CGCAAGUGUAUUCCUAUACUGUUGCGUUUAAAUAGCUCGUAGUUGGAUCUGCGUGUUUAGCGCGCGGUGCUAUUUUACUAUAGCUACUGUGCCGCGACACAGGAUGCUCUCAACGUACUUCCGUAAGUACGAUGUGGGCAAGUUUACUUUGAACAAAUCAGAGUGCUCAAGACGGGCGUUUCGCUCGGAUGUUCUUGCAUGGAAUAAUGGAAUAGGACCUGACGUUCUAUUUUGUUGGUUUUCGGGACGCAGGUAAUGAUUGAGAGGGACAGACGGGGGCAUUUGUACUGCGACGUGAGAGGUGAAAUUCUUGGAUCGUCGCAAGACACGCUACUGCGAAAGCAUUUGCCAAGAAUGUUUUCAUUAA
rnacentral:rRNA from 1 species